rnacentral:rRNA from 1 species
GAUGAACGCUGGCGGCGUGCCUAACACAUGCAAGUCGAACGGAGAUUACGGACGGGCGUUUUCGGAUGGAAGCCUGUAAUUCUUAGUGGCGGACGGGUGUGUAACGCGUGGGCGACCUGCGCUAUACAGGGGGAUAGCAGCUGGAAACGGCUGGUAAGACCGCAGAAGUCGGUUAAAUCGCAUGAUUUGAUCGGGAAAUGAGCAAUCAGGUAUAGGAUGGGCCCGCGUCCGAUUAGCCAGUUGGCAGGGUAAAAGCCUACCAAAGCGACGAUCGGUAGCCGGACUGAGAGGUAGGACGGCCACAUUGGGACUGAGACACGGCCCAAACUCCUACGGGGGGCAGGAGUGGGGGAUAUUGCACAAUGGAGGAAACUCUGAUGCAGCGACGCCGCGUGAGUGAAGAAGUAUUGCGGUAUGUAAAGCUCUAUCAGCAGGGAAGAUGAUGACGGUACCUGACUAAGAAGCCCCGGCUAACUACGUG